rnacentral:rRNA from 1 species
CGGUAAUUCCAGCUCCAAUAGCGUAUAUUAAAGUUGUUGCAGUUAAAAAGCUCGUAGUUGAACCUUGGGUCUGGCUGGCCGGUCCGCCUCACCGCGAGUACUGGUCCGGCUGGACCUUUCCUUCUGGGGAACCUCAUGGCCUUCACUGGCUGUGGGGGGAACCAGGACUUUUACUGUGAAAAAAUUAGAGUGUUCAAAGCAGGCCUUUGCUCGAAUACAUUAGCAUGGAAUAAUAGAAUAGGACGUGUGGUUCUAUUUUGUUGGUUUCUAGGACCGCCGUAAUGAUUAAUAGGGAUAGUCGGGGGCGACAGUAUUCAGCUGUCAGAGGUGAAAUUCUUGGAUUUGCUGAAGACUAACUACUGCGAAAGCAUUCGCCAAGGAUGUUUUCAUUAAUCAGGGAACGAAAGUUAGGGGAUCGAAGACGAUCAGAUACCGUCGUAGUCUUAACCAUAAACUAUGCCGACUAGGGAUCGGACGGGAUUCUAUAAUGACCCGUUCGGCACCUUACGAGAAAUCAAAGUUUUUGGGUUCUGGGGGGAGUAUGGUCGCAAGGCUGAAACUUAAAGAAAUUGACGGAAGGGCACCACAAGGCGUGGAGCCUGCGGCUUAAUUUGACUCAACACGGGGAAAUUCACCAGGUCCAGACAAAAUAAGGAUUGACAGAUUGAGAGCUCUUUCUUGAUCUUUUGGAUGGUGGUGCAUGGCCGUUCUUAGUUGGUGGAGUGAUUUGUCUGCUUAAUUGCGAUAACGAACGAGACCUCGGCCCUUAAAUAGCCCGGUCCGCAUUUGCGGGCCGCUGGCUUCUUAGAGGGACUAUCGGCUCAAGCCGAUGGAAGUUUGAGGCAAUAACAG